AUCUUGUAUGACAUGUUUCUUUUUCUUAUUUAUAGAGAUGGCAAAUAGUGGAAGAAACUCUUCCAUUGUUGAUCUAUGAUUGACUUGCAAGUGGUCCAAGGGUCAAGACAAUGAAGAAAUAAUUUUGUUGGCACGUGAAACUUGAAAGUUGAAAGCGAUCUCAUGGAAGAAAGUCAAGAAACUCAUUAUUGUUGUUUGUUAUUGUUGACAUUUGAAUUAAAAGUAAUCUCAUGGAAGAAGAC